AUUGAACGCUGGCGGCAGGCCUAACACAUGCAAGUCGAGCGAGCGGCGGACGGGUGAGUAAUGUAUGGGGAUCUGCCUGAUGGCGGGGGAUAACUACUGGAAACGGUAGCUAAUACGGCAUACCAUCAGAUGAACCCAUAUGGGAUUAGCUAGGAGGUGAGGUAACGGCUUACCUAGGCGACGAUCCCUAGCUGGUCUGCGAGGUUGAUCAGCCACACUGGGACUUAGACACGGCCCAGACUCCGACGGGAGGCAGCAGUGGGGAAUAUUGCGCAAGUGGCGCAAGCCUGAUGCAGCCAUGCCGCGUGUGUGAAGAAGGCCUUCGGGUGGUAAAGCACUUUCAGCGAGGAGGCGUUACUCGCAGAAGAAGCACCGGCUAACUCCGUGCCAGCCGCCGCGGUAAUAC
rnacentral:rRNA from 1 species